AUGAUUCGAACUCUGGUCGACAUUGGAGCUGAACUCGUUAUCGUUAUGUCUGUUGUUCUGCUUGAUUGGCUCACAUAUGUUGAUGUCGUGUCUCUCUCGGCACACCCAUGGAUCAGCGCAGCGGGCUGCUUAGGCUCCAUUGGUAAGCUUAUACUUUCAGAGUUCAGCAUUGCAGCAACAUCUGUCAUGGUGGGCCGAUCUGUUGGAUCUUCCUGAGCACAAAGUAGUGCCACCUGA
rnacentral:rRNA from 1 species